rnacentral:rRNA from 1 species
UUUUGGACAAUGGGCGCAAGCCUGAUCCAGCCAUUCCGCGUGAGUGAAGAAGGCCUUCGGGUUGUAAAGCUCUUUCGCAAGGGAAGAAAACUUACUUUCUAAUAAAGAGUGAGGUUGACGGUACCUUGAUAAGAAGCACCGGCUAACUACGUGCCAGCAGCCGCGGUAAUACGUAGGGUGCGAGCGUUAAUCGGAAUUACUGGGCGUAAAGCGUGCGCAGGCGGCUUUGUAAGUCAGAUGUGAAAUCCCCGAGCUCAACUUGGGAACUGCGUUUGAAACUACAAGGCUAGAAUAUGUCAGAGGGGGGUAGAAUUCCACGUGUAGCGGUGAAAUGCGUAGAGAUGUGGAGGAAUACCAAUGGCGAAGGCAGCCCCCUGGGAAUGGUAUUGACGCUCAUGCACGAAG